AACCUAGCACACCUGCGGUGUGUACCUGCGGAGGGAUCAUUAACCUUUCAAAUCAGGGCGCGGCGCGGCCCCCGAGGAGCGGAAACAAUCCUUGGGAGGUAUGCGGGGGCUUCGAGCCCCCCAUUUACGCACGCACGACUGCCAUCCUUACUUUACGAGCACCUUCUGUUCUCCCUCGGCGGGGCAACCUGCCGUUGGAACCGAAUAAACUCUUUUUGCAUCUAGCAUUACCUGUUCCGA
rnacentral:misc_RNA from 1 species